UUUGGAAGCAGCUGGAGGAAUGAGUUAGGUCCCGGUUGUGGGGAUUUUUUUUUUUUUUAAGUCAGACACAGGCACAGCUGUUGCACAAAAUGCAGACUCCACAGAAAAUCCAAAGCCUCAGACCCUUCAAGCAGAGGAAGAGUUUAGCAACCAGACAAGAGGAAGUUGCUGGAAUCCGGGCAAAGUUCCCAAACAAGAUCCCGGUGAUAGUGGAGCGCUACCCCGGGGAGAAGUUCCUGCCUCUGCUGGACAAGACCAAGUUCCUGGUCCCGCAGGAGCUGACCAUGACCCAGUUCCUCAGCGUCAUCCGGAGCCGCCUGGUCCUCGGGGCCACUGAAGCCUUUUAUUUGCUGGUGAACAACAAGAGCCUGGUCAGCAUGAGUGUGACCAUGGCAGAAGUCUACAGGGACUACAAGGACGAGGAUGGCUUUGUGUACGUGACCUACGCCUCCCAGGAGAUGUUCGGCUGCUCGGGGUCAGGGCGGACCCUGCCGUUCUCUCCAGAACAUGUCAGGAACCAGUCCUUGAACCCGUGGAGGGAUGGACCGCCUCCUGCGUGUGUGUCGGGCCAUCCAGGGAGCCACGCUGCCCAUCUGUGAUCGGCAACGCCCCCCCACGACAGGAGGUCCGGCUGUCCCGGUAUCUUUGUGGGGCUCCAUGCUCUUGUACCCUCUGAGACAGCGGGUGGCUCCUGGGAAUUCUGUACCUACUGAGUCUCCUCCGAGUAAGAAACGGUGAGCUUGUGUGACGGUUUUCGGUGAUGAGCUGGGGAUGGAUUUUAAGUGGCUUCGGUGGUGGAAGCCGGCAGGCCCUUGGGGAGCUUGAGUUCAGCCCCGUGUGGGGAGGAGUCCCAUGUGGGCUUGGUCACAGGGACCCUCGGGCGGUGGACCGGUCCCUGUGGACCCCCAUGUGGAGCCGGUGUGAACGGGCUCAUCUGGGGGCGGGGGCCUCCUCUGUGUCCUUGCAGAGAUGACCGCUGUGUCUCCACUGUGUUCACCUGACCGUUUAUUUCCUCUUAGAUUGUAUUUUGUGUGUUUGUGCCUAAGAUGCCCCGUUCAGUAUAAAGUCACGGAAACCCUGUGCUUGUUUGCGGCGUGCCAGGCACCCUCAUCGCAACCCUCUGUGGCUGAUUAUUGUGACCUUAGUACACAAUGACGAACGGAGGCCCAGAAAGGUCAAAAAUCGUUUCCAAAUUCACACACAGCAGGGAGUGCUGGGAUGGGAGCCCGGGGAGUCUGGCUUUAGAAGCUGCCCGCACUCCUCACUCUCUGCACUAGCCCCCAUCUGAGGGGGUUACUCUGCGUGUUCCAGCUGGCCGCCAAGCUGCGGAGCCCACGUUCACUGGCUCAGCCCGUGGCAGAGACUUGCAAAGUGGGAAGCGCAGCAGAGCUUGGCCAACAAAUGUUGGUGAAUGUUUGGUUCGGCAGCGAGCUCCAGCGUAUUUGGCAGGGAAGGCUUUGCAGGGUGUUCAGCUCGAGCUGGGUUUUGAAGCAUGGAUAGGAGUUCAUCGGGAAAGGAAUUUUGCUCGUGUAUACUCAACAUACCUUUUUGGAGCACUUCCUAAACGGUAAGCGCUGUUCCAGGUCGUGGAAAUUCAACAUUGACCAAGACAGGUAAGGUCCCAGCCCUCAGGAGUCCCUUCGACUGAAGGGAGGGAGGAAAGACAAUAUUCAAGAUGAGUUUGGAUGCUUGUAAGUACAAUCAAGAAAAGUAGGACAAAACAGAAGGUGAUUCGCAGAUUUAAUCCUCACUGCAGGAUGGCCAGACAGAGCUUCUGGGAUCAUGCCAGGGAGGGAAAGUGGCCGAGCAGGUCCAAACAUGUGAGCUUUACAAUCAGAGGGGAUUCUGGGGCAGUGGCAGUAGGGGAGGGGGAGAGCACUUAGCCAGGGGCCAGGUGUACAAGGUCAACUUUGCUACGGUAUUUGGAGUUUGUUCUAAGGUUGCUAAGCGGGAAAGGAGAAGUGUUCCAACUGGAGAGAGAGGCUCAGGGAAGGUGUGAUCCCCCUUACGUCCCCCAGGAGCAUAGAGCUGGCCUGUGGCCCCCGCUCACUCUCGGGAUCUGCUGUCCUGCUCCAGGCUGCUUUUCCUGACUCCCAGGUGGCCAGCCUGCCCUCUCUCCUGCCCUUGGCUGUCCUCUCCCUGCCUGGCUUGCCCCCUCGACGGCUCUACUCACUUCCUCUAACACCCACUCAUGGAGUCCUCUUUGCCAUCUGCCAAGUGAAACACGCCUCCCAGACUCGUCGUCCAGACAGAUCCUCUUGCUUCGCCGCGAGCAAUAAAUACUCUUCCGGAAUGAACCCAUGUCCCCGGAUUGACUCUGAGCUUGACGAGAGGUGGUUGGCGCUGGAUAGCCACCUAACCGCCGGUGCCGGCGGCUGGUGCUCCUGCUCUCAGCCUUACCCGUUUCCAUGCCUGCUCUUGAACCCAGCAUCUAAGAUUGUCAUCAUGCUGGGCUGUACCCGGGUGAGCUCCUGGGGUCUGUUCCAUGUCCAAGACUGUUCCCAGUAUGGCUUCCCUCCUGCGUCAGCCUCUGGCUGCCUGGUUUGUGGUGGACAGUGCUCGGUGUCCUGCUGCUGUCUCACCUACCAGCCAAAACUCACAGGUGGCAUAGAACCAGCCGGGCUAUUUUUAUGCUCGUGGCAUCUGUGGAUAAGGAUUUCCGAAAAUGCACAGUGGCCACAACUUGUCUCUGCCCCCUGACAUCUGGGGACUCAGCUGGGAGACCCAAAAGACUGGGAGUGAGUUGAGCAGCUGGGUGCUGGGAUCAUCCAGAGGCUUCUUCGGUCUCUCAUCGGACCCCUGGGCCCAAAUGACUCCAGGUUGGGCUCAGCUGAGCCUGGAGGGGCUCCAUGUGGCCUCUCUCAGUGUGGAUUCCCGGACGGCCGUAUUCGGAAGGAGCAGUGAGGGGCACGUGAUCCAGGGAACCAAGACUGCGGCUGACCUGUCCCUAGGUUGUCUUUUCCUUGUGGAUUCUGAGGUUGGUUUCUCAACAGAAACUUUCUUCCUACUCCACGAUUAGAAACAAUGUAUACCUAUCCUGAGUUUACUUCUAGCAGCAAUGAUUUCACUUUGUUUAAGUUGAAGUACUGGAGCCAACUGGAAUUUAUUUUGGUAACAGAAGAAUGUAUGCAGGUUCCAUUCUUCCCAAAUGCCUAACCAAGUGUCACAUGCGGUUUUAAUAAAUUAUCUACCUAUGGACGUUUGAAUUUGCUCCGAUUACGUGUUUAUGUCUUAUUACCAU